rnacentral:sRNA from 1 species
UAUAUGGGCGCUCCGAAGACAGCAGGUGGAUUUGUCCAUAAAUCCUGCCGAGGACAACAACAAUAUUCAUGAUUGUUUUUGUGCCCGUGCGUCUUUUGAUGCAGGGGUUUUCUUU